AUGAGCAAGAGGGGCAGGGAUGUGUGGGACAUGGAGCUGGGCAGCCUUGACACGGCCCGCGUGCUCAUGCUCCUCGCGCAGCAGCACCAGCACCACCACCGCGGCGUCGCCGGGGCAGCGCAGGCGAUGGGCGGCGGCCGCGUGUUCGAGUGCAAGACGUGCAACCGGCAGUUCCCCACGUUCCAGGCGCUCGGGGGGCACCGCGCCAGCCACAAGCGCCCCAAGCUGCAGCACCCGCAGCUGCACGCGGUUGGCAACGCCGACGACGGCGCGGCGCUCUGCCUCGGCCGCCAGAUGCCCCCGGUGCCGCCAAGGCCGAGGGUGCACGUGUGCCCCGUCUGCGGGCUCCAGUUCGCCGUCGGCCAGGCGCUGGGUGGGCACAUGCGCCGGCACCGUGUUGAGGCCGAGGCCGCGGCCACAUGCGCCGGCGGGAUCUGCCUGGGCCUGAACCUGACGCCUUCGGAGAACUGCGCCAAGUGUAGGAGCGUGGCGGGGCUCGGCGCUGCUACCGGGCAGGGUGUACAUAAGGCGCUGAGCGGGCACAUGCGCCGGCACACCGCCGAUGCCGAGGCCCACGAGCCGAGCGAGAAGGAAUGUUUGGAUAAGUUGGGAAAAAGAUAA
rnacentral:rRNA from 1 species